UGAGGUUUAAUGCAUAAUGUAUGUGGUUGUUAAUGAAAUUCCAUCGCAACAAACACAACACAUAAUCUAUCGAACUCUAACGGCGAUAAAUAAAUGAUGAAGACGAAGCCCUUGAGGAGAUCAGAGAGAAGUAAUUGUUUAUUUUGCUGAUCUUGGGGCCAACUGAUCUAAGCAUGUAAAGCCUAUCACCCACCUCCUCCUCUUCUCAGCCAUCGGAUUCUUAGCAGGCAUUCUAUUCUUACAUUACCUCCUCC
rnacentral:lncRNA from 1 species